CUAGCCGUAAACGAUGGAUACUAGGCGUUGUGAGUAUCGACCCUCACAGUGUCGUAGCUAACGCGUUAAGUAUCCCGCCUGGGGAGUACGCGCGCAAGCGUGAAACUCAAAGGAAUUGACGGGGGCCCGUACAAGCGGUGGAGUAUGUGGUUUAAUUCGAUGCAACGCGAAGAACCUUACCAGGGCUUGACAUGUCGCGAAUCUCAGGGAAACUUGAGAGUGCCUUCGGGAGCGCGAACACAGGUGGUGC
rnacentral:rRNA from 1 species